GAUGAACGCUAGCGGCAGGCCUAACACAUGCAAGUCGAGGGGCAGCACAUAAAGUGGUUUACUACUUUUGGUGGCGACCGGCGGACGGGUGCGUAACGCGUAUGCAACCUGCCUCCAACAGGGGGAUAACGGAGAGAAAUUUCCACUAAUACCCCAUAAUAUCAGAAUCGGCAUCGGUUUUGGUUGAAAACUCCGGUGGUUGGAGAUGGGCAUGCGUUGUAUUAGAUAGUUGGUGAGGUAACGGCUCACCAAGUCAACGAUACGUAGGGGGACUGAGAGGUUAGCCCCCCACACUGGUACUGGGACACGGACCAGACUCCUACGGGAGGCAGCAGUGAGGAAUAUUGGUCAAUGGGGGCAACCCUGAACCAGCCAUGCCGCGUGCAGGAAGACGGCUCUAUGAGUUGUAAACUGCUUUUACAAGGGGAUAAAUCGGUGUACGUGCACACCGUUGAAGGUACCUUGGGAAUAAGGAUCGGCUAACUCCGUGCCAGCCGCCGCCGUAA
rnacentral:rRNA from 1 species